rnacentral:lncRNA from 1 species
CAAACCCCACCUCAGUGUGUCUAAAAGGUAGGAUGUGGAGUAAAGGAUGAUCACUCUCUUGUGUUGGGAUGAAGUGUUUGUCCUGUUGGGGUCUACCUAUCCCUUUCUUCCUUCCUAGCUCUCCCUCUUGGGAUGGGAAUGUUUGACCUAUGCCUGUCUCACCCUUGUAUUUUGGAAGCACAUGACCUGUUUUAUUUCACAGUUUCACAGCUGGAGAGCGAUUUGCCUCAGGGCGACUCAUGCUUUGGGUCUCACCCAUUUCUGAUUUAGACUUUAAAGCUGAUACUGGAACAAGUUCAGACUUUGGAGAAUAUUGGGAUGGAAUGAAGAUAUUUUGUAUGUGGAACAGGACAUUGUUUGAGAGGAUCCAGGGUGAAACCGUUAUAAAUGGAAUUAUCAAACUUAGAACAUGGCUAAAGGAAGCUAGUUAGGCUCUUCCAUCCUCCACCUCUCCUGUCUUGUGAACACACAAUAUGGAAUUUAUAAUUAAUAGGGAAGCAGAACUUAAAGGUUUGAAAAAUUCUCAACCCCACCAUAUGAGGCAUGAAAGGGUAUCUGUUCCCCACUGGAGAACAGCAACGAGGCAUCAUCUUGAAAGAAGAGACUGGAUCAUCACCAGACAACAAACCUUCCAGUAUCUCAAUUUCAGACUUUCCAGCCUCUAAAAAAAAGGUUUUUAAGAAUAUUUUUUCUUUAUUAUAAAUUAUGCAUGGGGCUGGGGUUGUGGCUAGACCGCUUGCCUGGCACAUGCAGGGCCAUGGGUUUGAUCCUCAGCACCACAUAUAAAUCAGUAAAAUAAAGGUAUUGUGUCCAACUACAACUAAAACAUAAAUAUUUAAAAAAAACUAUGCAGUCUCAGGUAUUUAGUUAUAGUAACAAACAGACUAGGACAGCAUCAUUUGCUUAAAUUAGAUUCUAAUGUGAUCAAGGGAAAAACUACAGAGAAAACAAUAGUGGCUUUUGAGUAAUGAUGAAAAGAUUAAGAAAAAUCAAAGAGUAGUACUUGACAAAUGUUAAAAGCAGAAUCAACAGAAUCUGGCCAUCAAAUUGGAUGUGUAAAGCAAGGGAAAUUGUUGGCGAUGGGAGAGAAAUUUGUAACUGUAUGCUAACUUGUGAAUUGUUCCUGUGAGUAAUUAAACCAGAACUCUACAAAAGUAGCAAGUAAUUGCAAACCUUAGAAGCUGCGGACACAUUAAAAGACAAAGAGCAAUGCUGUAUUUUACUUCUGAAAUGAAAAUGCAAACCCUCUGAAACAUCACAAAAUACACUGUCCAGUGAAUUCAACUCCAACAAGCAACUGAAUGCCUGAAAGCUCUGGUCUGUCUGGGGAUGGGACAGAGAAAACUAGAGCAAGCUAAAGGCAGAGCAUGGAAACAUUCCAAGGCAGUGCCUCCUUUCCCAUCUCCAUGGGUAUAAAUAUUUUGUGCUACAGGGGAAGGGGAUUAUGGUGGAAGAAGAGGGGACAGAAUUCUCCCAGAAAAAUGCUAGAACAGAAUGGCAAGGUUAGGAGUGAGCAGAGGACUAGUCUAGGGAACAGUGGAGUAAAAUACUCUGACAAGUAUUUUAAAGGCGAAAACCGGACUCACUAGAACCUCUAUUUUUAUAUAUUUAUGUUAAAUAUCAAUUUCUUCAGGGAUGGAGCUGUGUUUAAAAUUUUAUUAGCUCUAUAAAGAGCUUCAAGAUAACAUCUAGCAGUUAGUUAUUUCCAAACAUGGGAAGGCAUUAGAACCACUAAGGAGUAUGAUAAAAAUGCAGAUAUCAAAUUCAAUAAUUCCUUCGACAUUCAUUGGCAGACAGAGUUCUGUAAUGAAGGCCUGUCUCCCAUACGCCGUUACUAGGGUUGCAGUUGUCCGUUAAUAGAUUCUUACUUAAUGUGCUGUAAUCCAUGACUCUCUCAUUUUUCUGUCUGAUAUUUAGAGAAUUUGGUCUAUAUGCGCUUAUUCAAUCUGAUUCCUGUAUUCUUUUGACAGGUUCUCUUUGCCUUUAAGUACUUCUUUUCCCUAUUUCUGGAAUAACAAGCUAUUCCAGUAUCAAAAUGUAAUCUAUCUGCCCAGACCCUAGGUCAGCCAUUCUUUUAAAGAUCUCUGAAUCAUUUUAGAGGGGACUGUCAUUUAAAAACCAAGACCUGGAGACCAGGCAUGGUUUCUGCUACCAAGGAAGAUAGCGUUUAGACUCUCCAUUCAACUCUAACACCAUAAGGAACUUCCUUGCCUUCUCUUGCUCAUAGGUAUCUCCCAAUAUGUAAGAAAUCUGUUUCAUAAACAUUAAUGUAUUUUUCAUCUUGCUGUGUCUACCAUAUCAAAUGAAAAUUGUUUCAGAUUCACUAUUCCAACAGCAGUACUAAUUACAAAACCACUGAGCAAGUUCGGUAUUUUUAGUUUAUAUUGUCUUUAGAAUAUAUUCCAAUAAAAGUGCAUAGAAUGCCAUACAGAUGCUUGAUCUAAUCUGCUAUUUAAAUGUGCAAACUGGCAGAUUCUGAUUGUGGAGCAUUCUACCAAACAAGGGACAUUGGGUUCUUCAAAAAUGUCAAGUCUUGGAAAUCGAGGAACAAGGUGGAAUUGCUGUAAAUGAAAGAAUACUGGAGGCAUGAAAACCAAAUAAAAUGCAAAAUAUUGGAUUGGAUUGUCAUGAAGAAACUACAAGAACUUUUUUGUGUAACAAUUGAAGAAACUUAAAUAUAGACCACAUUUUGGUAAUAUAAUUGCAUAAAUGUCAAUAAGGUUUCUUGGGUGUGAUAGUGGGUAUUAUGGUUAUAAAAUAUCUUUGUUCUUAGAAAAUGCACAUUAAUUAUUAAUGUUUUUAGGGGCAACAUGAUGUCUACAAUUGAUUUUUAAAUGGAGAAAAAGAAUAACUAUAAAGAAAAUGUAGCAAACUUUGGACUGACUUUCAAAUAUAGGGACAAAAAGAAAGAAUGAGUGAAAGAGAGAGACCCAUGAAGUAAAUGUGGCAAAAUUAGCAAUAAGAGAAUCUAGUGAAAGGUAAAUAGGUUUUCAUUGAACAGUUGUUUCAAUUAUUUUAGUUUUAAUAGUUUUUCAAAAUAUAGUUGGGGAUAACAAUAUAGAAAUAUAAGCCCCACCCAAAUGAUUCUGAUGAUUUUGGUCUUAGGAACUUUCUGGAAAUGCACAUUUUUAUCAAGAGGAUUCUGAUGCAGAUAAGACAGCACUUAAGAAUGACUGAGUAGAUGGCAUUUUUUAGUGGGAUUUAUUGCCUCAAAUUUGUACAUGAACACAAUAUCACAAUACAAUUUGGUCAGUAUAAUUCCCAGUAUUUUCCUUUUCUUUCCCCUCCGGUCUCCCCACUAUCCUUUCCUCUAGUCACUGACCUCAUUUUGAUUUUCAUGAGAUCCCUCCCUACCUUUUUUUUCCUCUCUAGUUUCCACAUAUGAAGGCCAUGAUGACCUUGAUAUUCUGAGACUGAUUUAUUUCACUUAAUAAAGUGAUCUCAAGUUUCCUCCAUUUUUCCUGCAAAUGACAUAAUUUCAUUUUUCUUUAAGGAUGAAUAGAACUUCAUUGAGUAUAGAUACCAUAUUUUCUUUAUCCAUUCAUCCAUGGAUGAACACCUAGGCUGGUUCCAUAGUUCAACUAUUGUGAACUAUGUGCUGCUAUAAACACAGGUAGGAAUGUGUUGCUCUAGUAUGAUGACUUACUUCUUUAGUAUUAUUAUUCAAAAUACGAAGUAGUAUUUGUGUUCCUAAAUAAAGUUUUAUCGGAACUCAGCCACACACACUCAUAUACAUAUUUCCUAUAGUUACUUUCAUGCUACAAAGACCAAAAAGCUCACAAAGCUUAAAAUAUUUUUAACCUGGCCAUUUGCAGAAAAAAGAAUAACUUUUGGUCUAAUGUGUUAAAAUUAAUGGGGAAGGCAUUGGAACAACUUGUAAAUUUUACUUUACUUUUUGUUCUUUUGCAGUACUUGGGAUUGAACCCAGGGCUUCGCACAUGCUAGACAAGUGCUCUACCACUGAGUUACACCCCCAGUCCUGAAACAACUUUAAAUAAUAUGGAAAACUGCAAGUUAGGGAAAGGGGCACUGAUCUGGCAAAGUAAGCAUUCCAGUCCAUGGUGAGUGUUAUCAUUAUAUACAAAGGAAACAGGCAAACAAGCAAAAAAAGAAUCAGAACAAAAAUUUGAGAGUGCCAACAAUAACUGGUUUCUUCACAUCAACUCUGGGAAGCAGAGGUCAUUCAAGCUUUAUAAAUAGGGACUUGGAACAUAGAAAUAAAGAAACCCACUCAAGGUCAUUUUAAUUGCAAGUGGAAGGAUUGUGACUCAGAAUUAAUUUGGACAGAUUUCAUGUCCCCUUUUGGUUGGGCCACUCUUUCACCUCUGCCACAUUUUAGCCUUCAUUUAAUUGAAACUCAGAUCUGAUGCUCCUGGUGUUCAGAGUGAGGACCUUUAAAAUUAUUUUAAAGAGGAGCCCCCAAGAGGAUCAUCCUUUCUUCUAAAAAAUGAGUCUUUGUCAGGUUAAUAUUGUUAUAUUUAAAAUUCUGUCCCAUAGACUUUCUGAAAGAUUGCAAAAUGUGGUUAUUUUUUUCUGUACCACUCAUAUUAAUACACCUAAGUAAAGCACUCUUUGAUGAAGUCAGUAUUCCAGAAAGAAUGCAAAAACACUUUACUGCAUUUUAUUUUUAUUCCAGAAAGUAAAGUAAUCCAAAAUUUUGUUCUGUGAUUGUUAGAGCUUCCUCCCUCCCUCCCUCCCUCCCUCCCUCCCUUCCUUCUUUCUUCUCUCCCUCCCUCCCUCCCUUCCUUCUUUGCCUCCUGUUUUUUACUUAAAGGAGAGUUUUUUGUUUGUUUAUUAGAAUCAAGUUAGAGCAAACUUAGAUUCUGUCACAAAAAAGCACAUUAUAAUUUAAAAUUCUUUCAAGGCUAAAAUUAUGAUGAUUCUUCUUUGGGGAAUGUGGAAAUUUAUGAUAGGAUAAGACUAUGACAUUUAUACCAUAUGUGUGUAUACACACACACACACACACACACAUAGGUGCAUGUAUAUGAUAUAGGUGUAUAUACAUACAUAUGUAAGAUUGCAUAUAUUAUAUACAUAAAAUAUAUGCAUAUAUUACCUAGAUAAUACAUCUAAUUAUAUCAUAAUGUUUAUUCCUCACCUCCAAAGAAAAAUGUUCUUGUUCAAUUUCCUUGAAACAAUCUGUCCUCUAGCCUUGUAUUCAAUUUUCCAAAUUUCUAUGAGCCGUAUCUAUAAAAGAUAUAUUUCCACUACAAGAAAAACAAUGCAAGCACCAUAACAAAUGGCUUCCAAGUUGGGUAAUGUGAAAUAGUGAAAGAUGUUCAGAACUGGAAAGCACACUCUUAGAGUGAAGAGGUGGUUCUGCCCAAUUUCAGUUUGUGAUUUCUGUCAUUCAGGAAAGCAUAGGAGUCAGAUUUUAUGAUUCUCCAAGACCAUGAAGUAAUAUAUUUUUAAAUGAUUGAUAAAAUUUGGCUUGAAUCAUUUAAAAUAUCAUUUGUUCCCACAAAUAAAAUAGAAAACAAGCAACUCAAAAAGACUCCUGCAGGUUGCAUUAGGCCCUUAGUUUCUUGAGUUUGUAACUCUCAAGGUGAGUGAAUUGUGGUCUGGAUUUCUAACUAAGCGGGUCUCCAACCAGGUUGCACAGUGGAAGUCUGUGCUCGACACUGUGAUCCAAGCUCGUAUUCUGAUAGAGUAAUAUCUCUGAUCUUGAAGGAUCUGUUUAUCCAAUGAAUCUUCUGCAAGGCAGGCUUUUUGGAACUAUCAGCUGUCCUUAUCUUCCUUCUGCUUCACCUACACCAGUGCCCAAACUACGCUUGGCAGAAAUGGGAUGGGUAGAUAUUUUGUUUUCUACUAUGUGAUUACACACCAGAUUAUCUGCCUUACUGUUCUUUCAAAAAAGUAAGGUAGAGCUAUCGGAGAGAACAUUUCCAUCUCUUUCCAAAUUCCCAGUUGUCAAGAGUUAAAUACUUCCACGGACUAGCAGGAAAAACAAAUGAAAAACCAAAACAACAAUAUUUAACAAGUUUCCAAAGUGGAAUUUGUAUGAAGAUAACAUUUGGAAAUAUUUGAAUCAAUAGGGAUGUCACUUUUUAUUCUCUAUAGAUGCAGACAAUCAAGGGAACAACAUUUCUGGGAAGAGGGCUGGGCUUUGCUCUCUAUAAAUGCCCCCUUUUACUUCUAGCAAUUAUCUUUAGCCACGUAAGGGUUAACUCAGAUGCAGGGGGAAAGUUUAGGGAGCUAGCAGAUCUGGUUCUGAGCAACCUUGGGAACUACAGCCUGACCCUUGGUCAUCCAGGGGAGGGUGAGAUUAUGUACACAUUUCAAAGCUUCAAACUCCAACAAUGUUCUGGGAUUGGGCUGCUUCCAGGAGAAAUAACCUGACUUUUUCUUCCUUUUCAAGUACUCACAAAAAGUGUAAGUUAUCCAGCAAUUCUUAAGCAUUUCAUUUGUAUAUUGUAUUACUGUUUGAACAGUAAUAUGAUGAUCAUGGUCAUGGAUCCUUUAAACAUCCUGGAAAGGUAGGUCAGGUGUGAAGCAUAGUUUACUGACUGGAACACAGAAGCUUAGCAAGGUUCUGGGACUUUACCAUGGUUACUAUCACUUAAGUUUUCUGUGUCAGACUUCAGAAUUUUUUCUUUCAGUAUUUGAGGAAUCAUUGCUUUAUGCAAUACUUUCCUACUUCUGUUGAGGUCAUCAACUUUUAAACCUGAUUCAACAUGUCCCUAUCACUUUUGACCUCAGUUAUUGUGCAAACACUCCGAUAAUUUCAGAAACAAUUAUUGACUAAUCUGUAAACAGCCUGUGGUAGACACAUUCAUGGGGAUAAAAAAUAUAGGACUCUGUUUCUGUUCUCAAGGGAUGGGCAAGUUGGAUUAAAAAAAAAACAACAAAUUACACAAAACUAUCAGAAAUUAAAGGUAAACCUAAGAAUAAAUGGAUUCAACAUGUGUCAAACACAAGACUAAAUACUUUACUUAUUUAAUCCUUGCAAAAACUCUCCAAAACAAUGUGAUUAUUCACUUGACAAUGGAGGAAAUUAUUGAAUAACUUGCCCAAGGUCAUAGCUGGCUAGUGACAGAACUGGGAUUCUACCCUGCUUUUGCCGGAUGUCAAAUUUCUGGAGAGUUUCCCUGCACCAUUCUGUCCCACUGAACAUACACAGGGGCCUAUUGUGGUGGGGACUGAAUACUGAAAAGCCCAGGAAAUGGGGAGGUUGGACUUCCUCAGCAGAGGGCAGAAACAGAGAAGUGAGUUGUUGAGUUGGCACUUGAAAGAAAUGGCUGGUAUUUCUGGUGGAACAGUGGUGGAGAGGAGAACACAGUUGAGUGGUGGAUGAGUAAUGGGGGAUGCAUUGGUUAUAACUGUGUAUGCAGUUACCCUCAGAGGUCAGGCUUCUUCUCUGGCAGGCGAGGCAUAGGUUAGCACAGCAUGUUCUUGGAGCUAGAUUUAUAACUAUGCCUCUUUGUUCUGUAGGGGAAUUUGUUGCUUUUGCCAAGUACCUUAGCUUCCUGAGUACUGGUACUUCUUGGGUGAAUGGAAAUCAAGAUUUUGCAACAUCUGUGAGAGGAGAAGAAAGGGGCUGAGUAAGAGUAAGGUGAACAACCCCUUACCUUAAGGACAGUGAAGGAGAGCUGAAGAGGCCUCUUGUGGGUGUUACCUCCAUUUGCUUCUCAACACAUGGCAUUGCACAAGUUCUUGAAAAGGUGAUUCAAACUUUGCAUCAACCAAAAAAAUUGUUUUUUUCUAGUUUCCUUUGGAAAAAAUAAUCAGAUACUUAUCAACACCAAGUCUACAAUUUCUUCAUAACAAUGCUAAAUACGCACAGUGUGUGUUAUGUUCUGUGCACUGUUUUAAGCACAUUAAUCUCUUUCGUUCUCAGAACAAUCUUAUGAGGUAUGAAUGAUGCUAAAUCUUCUUUUUCCUAUUGGGAAACUGAGGCACAGGGAGGGGUUAAGUAACUUCACUAAGGCUGUAGGGCUGGGAUUUGAACCCAGGAAGCACAAUUUUAAAGUCCACAUAUUUGCUAGGAAUUGUUUUCCCUUGUAUGGAAGUUUAUGGCUAUAGCGGAACCAUUCUUUUUAUGUGACCUUUUAAAAUCAAUCUUUAAAAUUGAGCAGUUUUUUUUUUUUUUUUUUUUGCUAUUCCUACACAAGCAAUUUUACAUGCAGUGGUUUCAGAGAGGCGGAGUUCUGUUCUUUCUUGUUCUGAAGUCAAGGUCUAAGGGAAUGCCUUAGUUGUUCUACUAUAAAUGUGCCUUAGAGAUGCCCACAGAAAGUCAAAGGGACAACCAAGAAAUAUACAGCUAAUUUUUUUCAUUCACUCAUCCACACAUUCCAUUAAUCAUUCAAUAAGCAUUGAGUUUUAAAUACAGGGAAAAACACGAUGGGCCAUACCCUAGGUAAUACAUAGAUGUACAAGACAGCCCUUCCUCUCUUAAAGUGCUUUCAAUGAGAUUCUCUAUACAACAUCUGCCUUUGGAAGCUAUUGCUAUUGCUAUUGAUAUGAAUAUUACUACUACUAAUUAUAAUAAUAUUCAAUAGCAUGGCAAUUGAAUAGCUCUUGACAGUUUACAAAAUAAUUUCGUAAAGUACUAUUUCAUUCAGUCUCCAUCAUAACUCUGAGAAAUAGAAAACACUAUUUUUUCCUCAAUUUUAUACAUGACAAAUUGGAAGAACAGAAAAUUGAAGCCCAAAUAACACUAAUUGAUUGUGGAUCUGGACCUAGAACCUGGUUUUCAGGAUUCCACUUUCUCUUUUAUUUCUUCUGUAUACAAGAGCUCUGCUGGGUGUUAGGAGGUGAUGAAAAGAGCUCUGGGAAGUGAAUUGGCCAGUUAGUCUUGUGAGUUAUAGCUGGACCCAGGCAGGGGACCAUAUAGCCUAUAGGACCUGGUCCCUAUCAGCCAUUCCUAAGGGGAGUCAACUCUGACAAUGGAUGACAAGAAGAUGUUAAGACUUGUUGGUCUUUGGCAUAGUCCUCACUAAAAAUAACUGUUUCUCACUAGGAUUCCUUGUACUUUAGAAAGUGAGGAUAUCUGGUAAGGUCUCAUGCCAGAUUAGAAAGUCAUAUGACCACUCUGCCUAUACCACCAGGAAGCUAUGGACUUGGAAAAGCAGGAUUCUGGUCUUUCAUGCUGGCACUAAAAGAUCCUGGAUGAGUGUGUUUAAAUAUGCUCACCUAUAACCUCCUCUGUCUUAGAACAGGGCAUUUGGAACUAGGUUAUUCAGGUCAAGAGGCCAACUAAAUGGCUGAUAUCAGAAAUCAAAGAGAAAGUAAAUUACAGCAGGAGACCACCCACAUGAGACAGCCUAGGACACUGAAACCUAUGAUCCUGAAGGAAAUGACAAGAUUCAAAUAUGGGAAGAACGUAAACCAAAGCAUUCCUCUAAAAAAAAAAAAAAGAAAGAGAAGGAUGAUAAAUUUCCAAAAUGGUUUUCAGCGUCACUCACAUUAAAAAUUAAAACAAUAAAACAUUAUUUUUCAUGUCAGGGAAGUUUGAUAACACCAGUCUAAAGAUAGUGUAGGAAAAUAGAAGUCUUUUUCCCUAUCAGUGGACCACAUAUUAGAACAACCUUUUGAAGAGCUUUCAGCAGCAUCUAUGAGGCACAUACACUUUGACCAAGGGGUCUAUUUUGGGGAUUUUUUUUUAUGACACAGGUACUCACGCAAGUGCACAAAGAUACCAGGCAAGGGAGUUCAUUGCAACAUUUUUGUAAAAACUGGAAACAAUUUUUAAAUGUCUAUGAAUAGGAAAUACGAGCCAAACAUUUUAAAACAUCUAAUACUAAUUAGCAAAAACAAGUAGUUGAAUAGUAGAUAUAUUAUGAGCAUUUGUAUAAAUGAACAAAUGAAUAUAGGAAUUCAUAUGUAUAUCUUUCUCUAUUCACAUGUAUCUGUGUGCUUUUGCACAUAUGGACAUUCCUGAAAGGAUAUGUAGUUAAUAUAUGUAGUUAAUGCAUGUAGUUAAUAGUAACUUGAGGGGGGAGUGAGAGUGGGAGCCCAGUGUGGGAUGAAGGUUUGUUUCUAUUCUAUUGAUGUAUAAUAACUUGAAUAUUUUUAAUCAUAAAAGUUUUGUAUACUUAAGGUAAUAUUUAAAUGAACUAAUAAAGGACUUAUAAAAAACAAGAAUAGACCAAUACACGGGGCUGGGGUUGUGGCUCAGCGGUAGAGCACUCAUCUAGCAUGUGUGAGGCCCUGGGUUCGAUCCUCAGCACCACAUAAAAAUAAAUAAACAAAAUGAAGGUGUUGUGUACAACUAAAAAAUAAAUAUUAAAAAAAAAGAAUAGACCAAUACUAAGAAGUGCUAUCAACCUCAAGUUCAAAACAUCAAAGGUGAGCUGGGGUUGUGGCUCAGUGGUAGAGCACUUGCCUAGAUGUGUGAGUACUGGAUUUGAUCCUCAGCACCCUAUAAAAAAAUAAAUAAAAAAUAAAAAAAAAACAAAGGUAUAAUGAUAAUGGUAUUAAAAAUAAUGUCAUACAUUUAACUUUACUUUGUGCUAGACAAUGUCUUAAGCCUGUUAUAUACAUGAAGUUAUUUAAUACUUAACAUAAUCCUGCAAGGUAGUUAUUGUCCAUAUUACUGUGUUCGUGGGGUCUGAAAAGGUUAUCUUUAAGAGGUGAGAUUGAGAUAGAAGAUCACAAGUCUGGAGCUGAGUUCAGAACUGAUUUUGAAUUGACAAGCAAGAGUCAAGAAAUUCCUGUCAUGGACUUGGAGGUUUCCCUAUUCAUGCUUGUGAGCACAGGGUUCCUCAUGAGUUGAACUUCCUCCAAAGCCAGAGACAGUACUUCUGCCUCCCUGUGUGUCUGGCUGACUUGAUUACUAUGUCAGUUGAGAGUUAGAAAGAGUCGUAUUAACAGGAACCAAAUAAAAUAAUUGAUUAAUAAGAUAAAAAUUUUAUUUAUUUAUUUAUUUUUGGCUCAUGUAAAAGAAUUCCAGAGACAGUACAAAGCCAGUAUGGUGACUACAUGAAAUCAGGGACCAACAUUUCUUCUGGCUGGCCACCAUACGUGGCCCUCAUAUGGAUGUGGUCUUCAUAUCUAUGAUUGAGAUGGCUAUUGGAGCUCCAGUCACAGCAUCCUUACUUCAAAGAGAAGCUGGCAAAAGGAGAGAUAAGUGGCUGGAUUUCAUGUAUCCAAGUAUGUUUCUUAAAAGGUGCUCACUGUUGGCGUCUACAUAUCUUUGUGCAGAACUUAGUUAUUGACUUACAGUUGCGGAAGAGCAAAUGGAAGGAAGCUGGGAAAGUUAGUCUUUAGACAAUCAGGAUAACAAAUUGGGGGUUAUUACUAAGGAAAAGAGGGAAUAUGGAUUUUAGAGUAACCAACUGGUAGUUCUGGAAGUAAGAAUUAUCCACUCGUUUGAAGAAUAUUAUCCAUUUCCAGGUGCUGAGAAAGGGAGCUUUCAUCCUAGAGACUGAACAUUGAAGGUCACUCUACUUAUGGCUUCCACCUAAGUGACUGACAAAGGAUAUUUUGAGGGCAUUGGGAGCCUAAGGGUGCAGGGCAGGUAAGCCGAUCUAAGCAGGUAUAAGGGACUCUAAGAAAGGAUGGACAUGGUCCCUCGUCACAAUUUUACAAGGGUCAGACUUGUACUCUGAUCAUUUUAUUUGAUCAGUGCUUUUCUUACUAGAAGUCUUCUACACCACAAUGUCUACCAGAGCCUCUCACGUCUCAUCUUUGGAAAGCGGUAAGGGUGCUCUAGCACUCACUAUUUGGUAAGGACCUGAAGAGUGAUUUUCUGAAGCAAUCAUUUUGCUUAUUAUUGGUUUCCCCAACUGGACUUAUAAAGAAUGACCUUUUAAACUCAUAGAUGUGCUAUAGAAUAGAAAAAGAAAAAAAAAAACAAAUCAAAAGUUCAAAGCUGAAAAAACAAGAAGUAAAGUCCUGCCAAAUAUUUCUGGGCUUCAGCAGA